AUUGAACGCUGGCGGCAUGCUUUACACAUGCAAGUCGAACGGUAACAGGCCUACGGGUUCUGCCUAGUGGCGACGGGGGGCGUAAUGCAUCGGAACGUGCCCGAAGGUGGGGGUUAACGCAGCGAAAGCUGUGCUAAUUCCCCAUUAGAUCUCAGGCUAAAAGCGGGGGACAGGGGGGGAAUGUUUGGCCUCGCGCCUUUGGAUGAGCCGAUGUCGGAUUAGGUAGUUGGUGGGGUAAAGGCCUACCAAGGCGACGAUCUGUAGCUGGUCUGAGAGGACGAUCAGCCACACUGGGACUGAGACACGGCCCAGACUCCUACGGGAGGCAGCAGUGGGGAAUUUUGGACAAUGGGCGCAAGCCUGAUCCAGCAAUGCCGCGUGCGUGAAGAAGGCCUUCGGGUUGUAAACCGCUUUUGUACGGAACGAAAAGGCUCUGGCUAAUACCUCGGGCUGAUGACGGUACCGAAAGAAUAAGCACCGGCUAACUACGUG
rnacentral:rRNA from 1 species